rnacentral:rRNA from 1 species
UAGGGAAUCUUCCACAAUGGACGCAAGUCUGAUGGAGCAACGCCGCGUGAGUGAAGAAGGUUUUCGGAUCGUAAAGCUCUGUUGUUGGUGAAGAAGGAUAGAGGCAGUAACUGGUCUUUAUUUGACGGUAAUCAACCAGAAAGUCACGGCUAACUACGUGCCAGCAGCCGCGGUAAUACGUAGGUGGCAAGCGUUGUCCGGAUUUAUUGGGCGUAAAGCGAGCGCAGGCGGAAUGAUAAGUCUGAUGUGAAAGCACACGGCUCAACCGUGGAACUGCAUCGGAAACUGUCAUUCUUGAGUGCAGAAGAGGAGAGUGGAAUUCCAUGUGUAGCGGUGGAAUGCGUAGAUAUAUGGAAGAACACCAGUGGCGAAGGCGGCUCUCUGGUCUGCAACUGACGCUGAGGCUCGAAAGCAUGGGUAGCGAACAGG